AGUCAACAUGCCCAGGGGACGUGGAUAACCUCGGGAAACUGAGGAUAAACCGCGAUAGGUCAUCACUUCUGGAAUGGGUAAUGACUUAAAUCUAUAUGGCCCCUGGAUUGGACUGCGGCCGAUCAGGCUGUUGGUGAGGUAAUGGCCCACCAAACCUGUAACCGGUACGGGCUCUGAGAGGAGGAGCCCGGAGAUGGGCACUGAGACAAGGGCCCAGGCCCUAUGGGGCGCAGCAGGCGCGAAACCUCUGCAAUAGGCGAAAGCUUGACAGGGUUACUCUGAGUGAUUUCCGUUAAGGAGAUCUUUUGGCACCUCUAAAAAUGGUGCAGAAUAAGGGGUGGGCAAGUCUGGUGUCAGCCGCCGCGGUAAUACCAGCACCCCGAGUGGUCGGGACGUUUAUUGGGCCUAAAGCAUCCGUAGCCGGUUCUACAAGUCUUCCGUUAAAUCCACCUGCUUAACAGAUGGGCUGCGGAAGAUACUAUAGAGCUAGGAGGCGGGAGAGGCAAGCGGUACUCGAUGGGUAGGGGUAAAAUCCGUUGAUCCAUUGAAGACCACCAGUGGCGAAGGCGGCUUGCCAGAACGCGCUCGACGGUGAGGGAUGAAAGCUGGGGGAGCAGACCGGAUUAGAUACCCGGGUAGUCCCAGCUGUAAACGAUGCAGACUCGGUGAUGAGUUGGC
rnacentral:rRNA from 1 species